rnacentral:rRNA from 1 species
AGAGUUUGAUCCUGGCUCAGAACGAACGCUGGCGGCGUGCCUAACACAUGCAAGUCCAACGUGAAAGGGGAGCAAUCCCCCGGUAGGGUGGGCAAACGGGUAGAGUAAUACAUGGGUGGAUCUACCUUAGGGAUGGGGAGUAUCCUUCCGAAAGGAGGGGGCGAAUACCGAAUAUUGUCCGGAGCCGUGAAGGGUUCCGGGGAAGGGAGGGCCUCUGAUACAAGCUUUCGUCCUUAAGAUGAGCCCACUGGCCCACUCAGCUAGUU